AUUGAACGCUGGCGGCAUGCUUUACACAUGCAAGUCGAACGGUAACAGGCCGCAAGGUGCUGACGAGUGGCGAACGGGGGAGUAAUGCAUCGGAACGUGCCCAGUCGUGGGGGAUAACUACUCGAAAGAGUAGCUAAUACCUCAUACGAUCUAUGGAUGAAAGCGGGGGACCGUAAGGCCUCGCGCGACUGGAGCGGCCGAUGUCAGAUUAGGUAGUUGGUGGGGUAAAGGCUCACCAAGCCAACGAUCGGUAGCUGGUCUGAGAGGACGAGCCGCCACACUGGGACGGAGACACGGCCCGGAAUCCUGCGGGAGGCAGCAGUGGGGAAUUUUGGACAAUGGGAGCAAGCCUGAUCCAGCAAUGCCGCGUGAAGGAAGAAGGCCUUCGGGUUGUAAAAUGCUUUUGUACGGAACGAAACGGCUCUGGUUAAUACCCGGGGGUAAUGACGGUACCGGAAGAAUAAGCACCGGCUAACUACGUG
rnacentral:rRNA from 1 species